rnacentral:tRNA from 1 species
GAGCUGAUAGUAUAAAUACAUUAUGUUGCUUUUCCAAAGCAAAGAUCUGAGUUCUCAGUCAGCCCA